rnacentral:tRNA from 1 species
GUGGAUGUAACCAAGUGAACCAAGGCAGUGGAUUGUGAAUCCACCAUGCGUAGGUUUAAUUCCCAUCGUUCGCC